rnacentral:lncRNA from 1 species
AUAAAUCAAGAGUUGCCCUGCCUAUAUCAAACCCUUCAAGACUAGACAAAUAAACUCGAGCGAGAAGGGAAUUGGAUAAAGAUUAAACAACUAAACUCGAGCAAGAACUGAAUAGAAAUUUAAGAUGAGAUAACCAAAGGAAGUGCAUCUUAAACAAGUAAGAAAGAGCGGAUCGAAAUGUUAUCAUCCUAAGUCAGAUACAUAUUUCU